rnacentral:rRNA from 1 species
UACGAAGGGUGCAAGCGUUACUCGGAAUUACUGGGCGUAAAGCGUGCGUAGGUGGUUCGUUAAGUCUGAUGUGAAAGCCCUGGGCUCAACCUGGGAAUGGCAUUGGAAACUGGCGACCUAGAGUGCGGUAGAGGGUAGUGGAAUUCCCGGUGUAGCAGUGAAAUGCGUAGAGAUCGGGAGGAACACCGGUGGCGAAGGCGGCAUCCUGGACCGAGAUUGACGCUGAUGCGCGAAAGCCAGGGGAGCAAACGGG